rnacentral:rRNA from 1 species
CGGACGGGUGAGUAACGCGUGGGUAACCUGCCUUACACAGGGGGAUAACACUUAGAGAUAGGUGCUAAUACCGCAUGAGCGCACAGGACCGCAUGGUCGAGUGUGAAAAACUGAGGUGGUGUAAGAUGGACCCGCGUCUGAUUAGCUAGUUGGUGAGGUAACGGCCCACCAAGGCGACGAUCAGUAGCCGGCCUGAGAGGGUGGACGGCCACAUUGGGACUGAGACACGGCCCAAACUCCUACGGAAGGCAGCAG